GCCCAGGUGGCGGAAUGGUAGACGCGCUGCGUUCAGGUCGCAGUGGGGGCAACUCCGUGGAGGUUCAAAUCCUCUCCUGGGCA
rnacentral:tRNA from 1 species